CACCGCCUCCCACGCGGGCGUGAGGAGAAGAAGGAGAGUGGUUGAAGAAAAGAAGAAGAAGAGGGAAAAGAAGAGAGGAGGAAGAAGAGAGGAAGAAGAGGGAGAAGAGAAGAAGAUGAAGAAGAAGAAGAAGAGGAGGUGGCUGCAGCGAGGGCUGCAGCGAGAAGCUGUGGGGCGUGGGGAGAAGAAGAGAGGAAGAAGAGGGAGAAGAGAAGAAGAAGAAGAAGAAGAAGAAGAGAGGAUGAUAGCUGCGGCAAGGCUGCAGCGAGGAGGUGUGUGGGGUUGGGGAGGAAAGGGGAAGAGGAGAAGAAAAGAAGGAGAAGAAGAGGGAAAAGAGAGGGAAGAGGGAGAGGAGCGAGAGGUGGCAGCAGCUAGGGCUGCAGCACCUCUGUUUCCUGCAGGUGGAAACAGAGGAGAGGUGGGGCGUUCGAAGAGGAGAAGAAGAAGAAGAAGGAAGAGAAGAGGAAGAGGAAGCAGGAGAAGAGGUUGUGAUACCUCUGUUUCCUGCAGAGGAAACAGAGGAGAGGGUGUGUGUGACGUCGGGGAGAAGAAGGGGAGGAAGGAGAAGAAGAGAAGAAGAAGAAAGGAAGGAGAGGAAGAAGAGAAGGGAAAGGAGGAGCUGCGGCUGCGGCGGUGGCAGCUGCAGCUGGAAGAGAAGGAGAGGAAGAGAUGGUGAGGAAGAAGAGAAGAAGUAGAAGCGGGUGAAGAGGCGGCACCUCUGUUUCCUGCAGGAGGAAACAGAGGAAAGGAGGUGCUGUUCGUCGGGGAGAAGAAGGGGGCUGCAGCUGCGGCGAUGGCAGCUGCAGCUGGAAGAGAAGAAGAAGAGGAAGAUGAGCAGGGGAGGAGGGAGAGGUUGCGGCCGUGGCUGCGGCCGCGACUGCAGCAGUUGCAGCGGGGAGAGAAGAAGAAGAAAGGAAGGAGAAGGAAGAGGAGAAGGGAAAGAGGUAGCUGCGGCUGCGGUUGUGGCAGCUGCAGCUGUGGCAGGGAAAGAGGAAGAGAAAAAGGAAAGGAAGAAGAAGAGAAAGGGAAGGAGAGGAAGAAGAGAGGAAGAGGAGAAGGGGCUGCGGCUGCGGCGAUGGCAGCUGCAGCUGUGGCUGGGAAAGAAGAGAAGGAAAGGAAGAAGAAGAGAAAGGGAAGGAGAGGAAGAAGAGAGGAAGAGGAGAAGGGGUGGCAGCUGCGGCAGUGGCAGCUGCAGCUGGAAGAGGAGGAGGAAAUAGAGCAGGGGAGGAAGAAGAGGCUGCGAGUGUGGUGGCUGCGGCCGUGGCUGCGACUCCGGCAGCGGCUGCGACGUUGGCUGCGGUAGCUGCGGCAGUGGUGGUGGCUGCAGUAGCUGCAGUAGCUGCUUUUGGGAAAGAGAAAGAGUACGAACGAGAGAAGGGAAGAAGGAAAUAGUGCAGUGGAAGGGGGCUGCGGUUGUGACCGCAGUUGCGAUUGUGGCAGCGGCGGCGGCUGUGGCAGCUGCGUUUGGGAAAGAAAAAGAAGGAAUGAGAGUAAGAGAGAGCAGGUGACUGUGCCUCGAUGUUCGACACGUGGUGUAGUUGCGAAGAAAGGAAGAAAACGGGAGCACAAAACGAAACAGAGAGAGGACACGGAGGAAAAGUAGAAGGAUUUGGGCUGGCACCUUCUUUGGAUCUUCGGAUCGAAAUCUUUGAAAGGUCAGCUUGUUACUCUUCGAGAUGUUUGAUUUGGGCUGAGGCAGUGGAUAGCUAUUCAGAAUGAUGGGCAAGUCUGGUUGGUUAUUACGAUAUUGUUGUAUAAGUAUGUUUUGUAUGUAAUGAAAUGUUGUCGAUGAACCGAAAUGGAUAUACUGUGUCAAAGUGUUAGGAGAUCUCUCUUAUUUGGAAUUUCUGAAUGUUAAGCCUAAUUUAUAAUGAUAUGAACUUGUGGUGGAUAGUUGGAGUUCUGAUUGUAUAAAUUAUUUAGCUUGUGGAUUUAUAAAUAUUGUUCAUGUUUGUCAAGUUGGCUUGGGUUGCCAUAAAUGUGAAUUAUUGAGUGAUGUGAUAUAUGAUUAUAAACUGCACAGGUUUUAUGGAUGUGAAUAUGAAUAGAAUGUUUUUCAGUGUCCUCAAACGUUAGUUUGGAUCCUGGAUUGGUCUGUGAUGAAAAAUUUUAAAAAUCAUGGAUAUUUUGAGGGGCGUGAUAGAGGUGGUAUCAGAGCAUUGUUUGAGGAUUACUGAAAUAUUUGAUAUGUUGACGUGCAAAAUAUAUUGAGGUCUAAUGAACUAUAGUGAUUGGUGGAAAUUUUCUUUGCUGCAUUUUAGGAAUCUGGGAUGAUGAGGACAUUUGGUCCUCCUAUAUCAUUUGUUUCUGAUUAAUUAAGGGGAAUGAAAGGAUUGAUUGGGGAUAUUGAAUCAGAGUGGCGCAGCAGAAGCAUGAUGAACCUAAUUUCAUUGGUGGUAGAAAAAUGGAUGAUGCAAAUGGAGAAGAUAUUUGAUAUACAAAAUUGUUCUGAUACUCGAAAGAUUUCUUUUGCCACGUUAUAUUGGAAGUAAAGACUUAUUAUUGACGGCAACAAUGAAAAGAAUUUCUGAAGAUCAAUGGCAAGAAUGACAAGAACAAGUUUACCAAUAAAAAUAUGAUUGGAAAUGAAUCAGUAAGUAACAACAAGAGAGUCAAGACAUUUGGAUUUGAAAUGGGAAGUCACCACAAAAGACUCAAUCAGGUGUGAAUUGCAAGUUAAAUUAUGAAACAAGUUUAUGUUUGUGCGUGACUAGAGCCUAUUUAGCUUAUGGAAAGUUUGAUCAUAAAAUAAAAGUUUGCCCUUUGAACAAGAAGAAAGAGUCACUGCCUCCUAAAUCAUCAGCCCAUGUCAGAGUGUAUGCUAUCACUGAAUAUGAUUCUAAGACUUCUAAAUUAGUGGUCGAAGGUAUUAUGUAUGUUUAUGAAAGAAUGCAAAUAUUUGUUUGAACAUGGGUUCUAUCUACGAUUUGAUUCGUAACAUAUUGCCUAUCACUUGGGUAUUCAACCUAGACCACUGUAUUAUGUGAUAUAUGUAAGUACAAUCAUUGGAGAUUCUUUGAUAACGAACUUGAAUCUGGUCCUCUUGUCUGAUUCUUAUUGGAGAACUUGAACUUUUGCUGAUUUAAUUCUCUUAGAGAUUUGGAGUUUUGAUAUUAUACUUGGUAUGGAUUGGCUAUCUUCCUAUCAUACCAGUAUGGAUUCGUAUAUAACAAAUGAUCACUUUUUGCAUAUUUGAUCAGCCGAUCUUUUAUUUUGAGAGUAUUGGACAUUAUUUAUCUCCUUGCCUAAUGUAUCCCAGGAUGACUUGCCUGGAUUACCUCUAAAUGUGAUUUUGCUUUUGAUUUGGUCCUUGGGACAAUCCCUAUAUCUAAGCCUCUCUGCAGAAUGAUAUCAUUUGAGUAAGUGGAAUUAGAAAAACAACUACAAGGAUUAUUAAAUGAGGAUUUUAUUUGGCUUAAUAUUUUAUCAUGGGGUGCUCUGGUGUUAGUUAAAAAGAUGGAUGGAACAUGGAGGCUUUGUAUUGAUUAUGGAUAGUUGAAUCAGGUGAUCAUAAAAAACGAGUAUUUUCUGAAGUAACGAUUUGCUUGAUUAAUUACAGGUGCGCAAGUAUUUUUGAAAGAUUGAUUGGAGGUCGGGUUUACCAUCUAUUGAGAAUCAAGAAGGAGAAUAUUUCGGUCACUCUUGGAAAAUUGUGUAAUUGUAUUGAAUUGAUGAAAUUAUUUAAGAGUAGGAGGAAAUAAAGAAAUCAUAAUCCUCAUCUUUUCAUCGAUUGAGCUAUGACCAAUUUAGAGGACUAAAUUUUCUUUUAAGGGGGGGGAGAGUGUAAUAUCCCCCACUUUUAAAAAUGUAUUAAUAAGGAUUUAUAUGUAAAUUGGGGGACCUAUAUGUAAAUAUAGAAAUUACAAGGACUAAACUACUAAGUUGCAAAAAAAAAAAAAAAAAAGGAAAAACCGAAAUUCGGUAUUAUCCCACCGCCUCCCACGCACUCUGUUUCUUUCCAGAAACAGAGAGAGCGGUGGGGCGUGAGGAGAAGAAGGAGAGUGGUUGAAGAAAAGAAGAAGAAGAGGGAAAAGAAGAGAGGAGGAAGAAGAGAGGAAGAAGAGGGAGAAGAGAAGAAGAUGAAGAAGAAGAAGAAGAGGAGGUGGCUGCAGCGAGGGCUGCAGCGAGAAGCUGUGGGGCGUGGGGAGAAGAAGAGAGGAAGAAGAGGGAGAAGAGAAGAAGAAGAAGAAGAAGAAGAAGAGAGGAUGAUAGCUGCGGCAAGUAUGCAGCGAGGAGGUGUGUGGGGUUGGGGAGGAAAGGGGAAGAGGAGAAGAAAAGAAGGAGAAGAAGAGGGAAAAGAGAGGGAAGAGGGAGAGGAGCGAGAGGUGGCAGCAGCUAGGGCUGCAGCACCUCUGUUUCCUGCAGGUGGAAACAGAGGAGAGGUGGGGCGUUCGAAGAGGAGAAGAAGAAGAAGAAGGAAGAGAAGAGGAAGAGGAAGCAGGAGAAGAGGUUGUGAUACCUCUGUUUCCUGCAGAGGAAACAGAGGAGAGGGUGUGUGUGACGUCGGGGAGAAGAAGGGGAGGAAGGAGAAGAAGAGAAGAAGAAGAAAGGAAGGAGAGGAAGAAGAGAAGGGAAAGGAGGAGCUGCGGCUGCGGCGGUGGCAGCUGCAGUUGGAAGAGAAGGAGAGGAAGAGAUGGUGAGGAAGAAGAGAAGAAGUAGAAGCGGGUGAAGAGGCGGCACCUCUGUUUCCUGCAGGAGGAAACAGAGGAAAGGAGGUGCUGUUCGUCGGGGAGAAGAAGGGGGCUGCAGCUGCGGCGAUGGCAGCUGCAGCUGGAAGAGAAGAAGAAGAGGAAGAUGAGCAGGGGAGGAGGGAGAGGUUGCGGCCGUGGCUGCGGCCGCGACUGCAGCAGUUGCAGCGGGGAGAGAAGAAGAAGAAAGGAAGGAGAAGGAAGAGGAGAAGGGAAAGAGGUAGCUGCGGCUGCGGUUGUGGCAGCUGCAGCUGUGGCAGGGAAAGAGGAAGAGAAAAAGGAAAGGAAGAAGAAGAGAAAGGGAAGGAGAGGAAGAAGAGAGGAAGAGGAGAAGGGGCUGCGGCUGCGGCGAUGGCAGCUGCAGCUGUGGCUGGGAAAGAAGAGAAGGAAAGGAAGAAGAAGAGAAAGGGAAGGAGAGGAAGAAGAGAGGAAGAGGAGAAGGGGUGGCAGCUGCGGCAGUGGCAGCUGCAGCUGGAAGAGGAGGAGGAAAUAGAGCAGGGGAGGAAGAAGAGGCUGCGAGUGUGGUGGCUGCGGCCGUGGCUGCGACUCCGGCUGCGGCUGCGACGUUGGCUGCGGUAGCUGCGGCAGUGGUGGUGGCUGCAGUAGCUGCAGUAGCUGCUUUUGGGAAAGAGAAAGAGUAGGAACGAGAGAAGGGAAGAAGGAAAUAGUGCAGUGGAAGGGGGCUGCGGUUGUGACCGCAGUUGCGAUUGUGGCAGCGGCGGCGGCUGUGGCAGCUGCGUUUGGGAAAGAAAAAGAAGGAAUGAGAGUAAGAGAGAGCAGGUGACUGUGCCUCGAUGUUCGACACGUGGUGUAGUUGCGAAUAAAGGAAGAAAACGGGAGCACAAAACGAAACAGAGAGAGGACACGGAGGAAAAGUAGAAGGAUUUGGGCUGGCACCUUCUUUGGAUCUUCGGAUCGAAAUCUUUGAAAGGUCAGCUUGUUACUCUUCGAGAUGUUUGAUUUGGGCUGAGGCAGUGGAUAGCUAUUCAGAAUGAUGGGCAAGUCUGGUUGGUUAUUACGAUAUUGUUGUAUAAGUAUGUUUUGUAUGUAAUGAAAUGUUGUCGAUGAACCGAAAUGGAUAUACUGUGUCAAAGUGUUAGGAGAUCUCUCUUAUUUGGAAUUUCUGAAUGUUAAGCCUAAUUUAUAAUGAUAUGAACUUGUGGUGGAUAGUUGGAGUUCUGAUUGUAUAAAUUAUUUAGCUUGUGGAUUUAUAAAUAUUGUUCAUGUUUGUCAAGUUGGCUUGGGUUGCCAUAAAUGUGAAUUAUUGAGUGAUGUGAUAUAUGAUUAUAAACUGCACAGGUUUUAUGGAUGUGAAUAUGAAUAGAAUGUUUUUCAGUGUCCUCAAACGUUAGUUUGGAUCCUGGAUUGGUCUGUGAUGAAAAAUUUUAAAAAUCAUGGAUAUUUUGAGGGGCGUGACAGAGGUGGUAUCAGAGCAUUGUUUGAGGAUUACUGAAAUAUUUGAUAUGUUGACGUGCAAAAUAUAUUGAGGUCUAAUGAACUAUAGUGAUUGGUGGAAAUUUUCUUUGCUGCAUUUUAGGAAUCUGGGAUGAUGAGGACAUUUGGUCCUCCUAUAUCAUUUGUUUCUGAUUAAUUAAGGGGAAUGAAAGGAUUGAUUGGGGAUAUUGAAUCAGAGUGGCGCAGCAGAAGCAUGAUGAACCUAAUUUCAUUGGUGGUAGAAAAAUGGAUGAUGCAAAUGGAGAAGAUAUUUGAUAUACAAAAUUGUUCUGAUACUCGAAAGAUUUCUUUUGCCACGUUAUAUUGGAAGUAAAGACUUAUUAUUGACGGCAACAAUGAAAAGAAUUUCUGAAGAUCAAUGGCAAGAAUGACAAGAACAAGUUUACCAAUAAAAAUAUGAUUGGAAAUGAAUCAGUAAGUAACAACAAGAGAGUCAAGACAUUUGGAUUUGAAAUGGGAAGUCACCACAAAAGACUCAAUCAGGUGUGAAUUGCAAGUUAAAUUAUGAAACAAGUUUAUGUUUGUGCGUGACUAGAGCCUAUUUUGCUUAUGGAAAGUUUGAUCAUAAAAUAAAAGUUUGCCCUUUGAACAAGAAGAAAGAGUCACUGCCUCCUAAAUCAUCAGCCCAUGUCAGAGUGUAUGCUAUCACUGAAUAUGAUUCUAAGACUUCUAAAUUAGUGGUCGAAGGUAUUAUGUAUGUUUAUGAAAGAAUGCAAAUAUUUGUUUGAACAUGGGUUCUAUCUACGAUUUGAUUCGUAACAUAUUGCCUAUCACUUGGGUAUUCAACCUAGACCACUGUAUUAUGUGAUAUAUGUAAGUACAAUCAUUGGAGAUUCUUUGAUAACGAACUUGAAUCUGGUCCUCUUGUCUGAUUCUUAUUGGAGAACUUGAACUUUUGCUGAUUUAAUUCUCUUAGAGAUUUGGAGUUUUGAUAUUAUACUUGGUAUGGAUUGGCUAUCUUCCUAUCAUACCAGUAUGGAUUCGUAUAUAACAAAUGAUCACUUUUUGCAUAUUUGAUCAGCCGAUCUUUUAUUUUGAGAGUAUUGGACAUUAUUUAUCUCCUUGCCUAAUGUAUCCCAGGAUGACUUGCCUGGAUUACCUCUAAAUGUGAUUUUGCUUUUGAUUUGGUCCUUGGGACAAUCCCUAUAUCUAAGCCUCUCUGCAGAAUGAUAUCAUUUGAGUAAGUGGAAUUAGAAAAACAACUACAAGGAUUAUUAAAUGAGGAUUUUAUUUGGCUUAAUAUUUUAUCAUGGGGUGCUCUGGUGUUAGUUAAAAAGAUGGAUGGAACAUGGAGGCUUUGUAUUGAUUAUGGAUAGUUGAAUCAGGUGAUCAUAAAAAACGAGUAUUUUCUGAAGUAACGAUUUGCUUGAUUAAUUACAGGUGCGCAAGUAUUUUUGAAAGAUUGAUUGGAGGUCGGGUUUACCAUCUAUUGAGAAUCAAGAAGGAGAAUAUUUCGGUCACUCUUGGAAAAUUGUGUAAUUGUAUUGAAUUGAUGAAAUUAUUUAAGAGUAGGAGGAAAUAAAGAAAUCAUAAUCCUCAUCUUUUCAUCGAUUGAGCUAUGACCAAUUUAGAGGACUAAAUUUUCUUUUAAGGGGGGGGAGAGUGUAAUAUCCCCCACUUUUAAAAAUGUAUUAAUAAGGAUUUAUAUGUAAAUUGGGGGACCUAUAUGUAAAUAUAGAAAUUACAAGGACUAAACUACUAAGUUGCAAAAAAAAAAAAAAAAAAGGAAAAACCGAAAUUCGGUAUUAUCCCACCGCCUCCCACGCACUCUGUUUCUUUCCAGAAACAGAGAGAGCGGUGGGGCGUGAGGAGAAGAAGGAGAGUGGUUGAAGAAAAGAAGAAGAAGAGGGAAAAGAAGAGAGGAGGAAGAAGAGAGGAAGAAGAGGGAGAAGAGAAGAAGAUGAAGAAGAAGAAGAAGAGGAGGUGGCUGCAGCGAGGGCUGCAGCGAGAAGCUGUGGGGCGUGGGGAGAAGAAGAGAGGAAGAAGAGGGAGAAGAGAAGAAGAAGAAGAAGAAGAAGAAGAGAGGAUGAUAGCUGCGGCAAGUAUGCAGCGAGGAGGUGUGUGGGGUUGGGGAGGAAAGGGGAAGAGGAGAAGAAAAGAAGGAGAAGAAGAGGGAAAAGAGAGGGAAGAGGGAGAGGAGCGAGAGGUGGCAGCAGCUAGGGCUGCAGCACCUCUGUUUCCUGCAGGUGGAAACAGAGGAGAGGUGGGGCGUUCGAAGAGGAGAAGAAGAAGAAGAAGGAAGAGAAGAGGAAGAGGAAGCAGGAGAAGAGGUUGUGAUACCUCUGUUUCCUGCAGAGGAAACAGAGGAGAGGGUGUGUGUGACGUCGGGGAGAAGAAGGGGAGGAAGGAGAAGAAGAGAAGAAGAAGAAAGGAAGGAGAGGAAGAAGAGAAGGGAAAGGAGGAGCUGCGGCUGCGGCGGUGGCAGCUGCAGUUGGAAGAGAAGGAGAGGAAGAGAUGGUGAGGAAGAAGAGAAGAAGUAGAAGCGGGUGAAGAGGCGGCACCUCUGUUUCCUGCAGGAGGAAACAGAGGAAAGGAGGUGCUGUUCGUCGGGGAGAAGAAGGGGGCUGCAGCUGCGGCGAUGGCAGCUGCAGCUGGAAGAGAAGAAGAAGAGGAAGAUGAGCAGGGGAGGAGGGAGAGGUUGCGGCCGUGGCUGCGGCCGCGACUGCAGCAGUUGCAGCGGGGAGAGAAGAAGAAGAAAGGAAGGAGAAGGAAGAGGAGAAGGGAAAGAGGUAGCUGCGGCUGCGGUUGUGGCAGCUGCAGCUGUGGCAGGGAAAGAGGAAGAGAAAAAGGAAAGGAAGAAGAAGAGAAAGGGAAGGAGAGGAAGAAGAGAGGAAGAGGAGAAGGGGCUGCGGCUGCGGCGAUGGCAGCUGCAGCUGUGGCUGGGAAAGAAGAGAAGGAAAGGAAGAAGAAGAGAAAGGGAAGGAGAGGAAGAAGAGAGGAAGAGGAGAAGGGGUGGCAGCUGCGGCAGUGGCAGCUGCAGCUGGAAGAGGAGGAGGAAAUAGAGCAGGGGAGGAAGAAGAGGCUGCGAGUGUGGUGGCUGCGGCCGUGGCUGCGACUCCGGCUGCGGCUGCGACGUUGGCUGCGGUAGCUGCGGCAGUGGUGGUGGCUGCAGUAGCUGCAGUAGCUGCUUUUGGGAAAGAGAAAGAGUAGGAACGAGAGAAGGGAAGAAGGAAAUAGUGCAGUGGAAGGGGGCUGCGGUUGUGACCGUAGUUGCGAUUGUGGCAGCGGCGGCGGCUGUGGCAGCUGCGUUUGGGAAAGAAAAAGAAGGAAUGAGAGUAAGAGAGAGCAGGUGACUGUGCCUCGAUGUUCGACACGUGGUGUAGUUGCGAAGAAAGGAAGAAAACGGGAGCACAAAACGAAACAGAGAGAGGACACGGAGGAAAAGUAGAAGGAUUUGGGCUGGCACCUUCUUUGGAUCUUCGGAUCGAAAUCUUUGAAAGGUCAGCUUGUUACUCUUCGAGAUGUUUGAUUUGGGCUGAGGCAGUGGAUAGCUAUUCAGAAUGAUGGGCAAGUCUGGUUGGUUAUUACGAUAUUGUUGUAUAAGUAUGUUUUGUAUGUAAUGAAAUGUUGUCGAUGAACCGAAAUGGAUAUACUGUGUCAAAGUGUUAGGAGAUCUCUCUUAUUUGGAAUUUCUGAAUGUUAAGCCUAAUUUAUAAUGAUAUGAACUUGUGGUGGAUAGUUGGAGUUCUGAUUGUAUAAAUUAUUUAGCUUGUGGAUUUAUAAAUAUUGUUCAUGUUUGUCAA